AAUGAACGCUGGCGGCGCGCCUAAUACACGCAAGUCGAGCGAGAAGACGUAGCAAUACGUUUGUAAAGCGGCGAACGGGUGAGGAAUACAUGGGUAACCUACCCUCGAGUGGGGAAUAACUAGCCGAAAGGUUAGCUAAUACCGCGUACGCUUCUUGGACUUCGGUUCAGGGAGGAAAGCGAUGCCGAGGGUAUCGCGCUCUUGGAUGGGCUCAUGUCCUAUCAGCUUGUUGGUGAGGUAACGGCUCACCAAGGCUUCGACGGGUAGCUGGUCUGAGAGGAUGGUCAGCCACACUGGGACUGAGACACUGCCCAGACUCCUACGGGAGGCUGCAGUCGAGAAUCUUUCGCAAU
rnacentral:rRNA from 1 species